rfam:Cavia porcellus supercont2_5 genomic scaffold, whole genome shotgun sequence.
GGGAAUAUAGCUCAGUGGCACAGCAUCUGCCUGGCAAGCACAAGGUGCUGAGUUCAAUUCCCAGUACCA